rnacentral:lncRNA from 10 species
UGGAACUCCACUUAGCAGCUAAAGUUCAUCCUCUGAAGUCUGGGAAGUCCAAGCUCAAGGUGAAGCCUCCUCAGGUGGCAAAGAGCAGAAGCACAAAAGAGACCAAACUCCCUCCCUCAAGCUCUUUUACAAGAACACUGAGACAUUCACAAGUGCUGAGUCCUCAAACCUACUAACCUCCUGAAGGCUACACCUCAAAUACGGAUUGAAUUUUCGCAUGAGUUUUGAGGGACACCCAUUCAAAGCAUAGCACCCUUCGGCUUCAGAGAAGCUCCAGCCCUGUUGUCACCAAGCAGGUUCCCCCUAGGCAGAGCGCCAAGAAGCAGCCCAGGCGAUCCCAAGGCGCACAAGUGCUCUCACCAGGCUGCGCGCUGGCGGGUCGGUGCACAGGGACGGGGUCGCCGCCCACGCGCGCUUGGUUCAGGGAGCCCAGGCUGUCCCUACCCGCGGCUACAAAAGCUCGCCGAGUCUUCCUGUCCACCCAAUCGCCCCACAUGUCAGCGGUUGGUCGCCUCGCGGUGCAGUGCUGGGCACGCGAGCCCCUCCCGCAGUCAUUCUCAGCACAAGCACCAGCCUGGAGCCCCGCAGCGACAGAGCUGAGAGCCCCCAAGCCGCAGAGGUCGUGCGGAGCAGGUUGCAAAUGUCUUAGAAACACACUCCUGGACCACAGCUUCAAGAGACGCAAGCAGUCACCUCAUCUGCUGGUUUCCAAGCUGCCCUGCCAGAAGCAGGUCAGGGGUCCCACAGGGGUCCUCAGUAACUCCUCAAAAUCCUCUCCCAUCAAUGGCCCCACCAGAUCAUCCCUACUUUUGAAUGCUUGUCCAAUGCAGGUUCCAGGCCUAAGGCAAUAGCUAAUUGAGACUAUGCAUCACUAUUAAGGCAUCUUCACUAAAGGGCGCUGUGGAAACGCUGCCUGAGAUGCAGACACCUGUCAGAAGGGGGCUAAAUUUCAAACAAGGAACGUGGUGUUGCAUCACAAUAAAAAGAGGAGACCAAUGGGGAGCAUUGGAAUGAUUUGGUUGCAAGCAUACUACACUACUUGUAAACUGCAGACACAGGCUUAAAAAAAGUGAAAAACUAACCAUGCAAUAAAGAAUGGAAUGAACCAUGAAGCUGUUUCUGUGGCCAGUCAUGUUUUUGAAGCAUAUCCCAUGCUAAUUUCUAGAACAGAAGAAACACACGUGUUCUUGUGUGUAAACCCAGUCCAUGGAAGAGACCGUCUGCUUGUCCCUCCUGAUCUCUGGGCCCAGACAACCAGUAGUCACCAUUCCAAGUGAGGGGUGGCUGCAACUCUACAGCCCCGUUCGUCUCUCCUCACUGUCAAAGCUGCUGAGACCCCAGACUCGACACUUGAAAGAAACCCAUGUCUGUGAAGCACUUGUGGACCAUUCAAGAUUGUGGAAGAAUCACUCAAGAGAAGGAGAUAGGUGAUGGGAUCUAGCUUCUGAUGGUUUCUAUUUUAUUGAAUGUCUAAUAGGGCAAGAAUUUGAAAAACGAGAAUGUUUGCCAUGCAGGAGGACCUGGGAAGGAGAUAACACAUUUACAGGGAGAAAGAUUGGGAUUCAGUUGGGAGGAGUAACUGAGGAAAGGGGUCACUCAAAAUAUUUUGUAUUUUAGGUCCUUUUUCUAUUAAGGAGGAAUGGAUUAUCAAAGCCUUAACAUUAAAUUGUAUUGUGUCAGGUGAAUUGCUAUGGUUUGAAUGUGGUGUGUCCCCCUCCCAAACUCACAUUGAAUUUUUUUUUUUUUUUUUGAGACGGAGUCUCGCUCUGUUGCCCAGGCUGGAGUGCAGUGGUGCGAUCUUGGCUCACUACAAGCUCUGCCUCCCGGGUUCAAGAGAUUCUCCUGCCUCAGCCUCCCGAGUAGCUGGGAUUACAGAUGUUCGUCACCACACCUGGCUAAUUUUUGUAUUUUUAAUAGAGAUGGGGUUUCACUAUGUUGGCUAGGCUGGUCUCAAACUCCCGACAUCAGGUGAUCCACCCACCUCGGCCUCCCAAAGUGCUGGGAUUAGAGGAGUGAGCCACUGCACCCAGCCUCACGUUGAGGUUUAAUUGCCAUUGUAACAGUAUAAAGAUGUGGGACCUUUACGAGGUGAUUAGGCAAUGAGGACUCUGCCCUCAUGAAUGGAUUAAUGCUGUUAUCAUGGGAGUGGAUUCCUUAUAAAGGGACACGUUCAGCACCCCCUUGCUCUCUCUCUCACCUUCCGCCAUAUGAUGAUGGGGCACAAAGGCCAUCAUCAGAUGUUGGCCCCUUGUUCUCGAACUUCCCAACCUCCAGAGCAGUAAAAAAAUAAAUCACUGUUCUUUAC